CAAAGUGUGAACGGAAUCUGUCCCAGAAGGAGGCGAGUGGAGAGAAAGCUCCUUAGAACCAGGACUCCUGCCUUUCCGCUGCCCAGACUGUGUCAGGUGACUGCAAAUGCUUUUGGGUCUCCGUGGCUCCCCAAACACACGCCCAUGAGCUGGUGCCCAAGGGGAAGGCUCCCGGAUUGCAGUAAUGGAAGCGUUUGGAGAACUGGUAGAGGAUUCGCUCCCGCUCCUGAGUCUCCCCGCUGAGAACCAGGGCCUGGAGGAAGCCCCUGGAAGGAGGACCAGAGUCCAGGACAGGGCCCAGGCUGGGGUAGCCAGCAGGCUCCAGAGCCGGGGACAAAUCAGAUUCCAGCCUCACCGGGGCCACCACCUCCCAGCCAUCCCUCCUCCCCAGAGAGGGCCUGGAGGCCUUACCGGAGGGCUCGGUCCAGGCUCUGGCCUCCAAACUGGAAGAAGGACAAGUACUCCUCAGCCACAGCCCUACUGAAGUCAUUGCUGCAGAGAGGAAACAGGAAUGAAGCCUGCAGUAGGCGGCCACUUCAGACUUCCGGAAGCCUUCCAGGUGAUAGAGGCGAGAGGCCAAGUUCCAGGCCACCUUGUCGCUGUUGACACCAUUAGCCAGCUUGUCUCCAGUCUGUGGCCUCUGGCCUUCCUCCGGGCACUGCGCCUGGGGCAUGGGGCUCUCGGGAAGCCUGUGAAUGUCCAAUAGUGGCCUCAGACUUCCACAAAGGAUGGACAGGUGGGGGUACUGGGUCAAGUGUCCCUCCAGGUCAGUCAUGGAAGGGGAUCAGUCAUCAGCAGGGUCAGUCAUCAGCAGGGGAGCUGGAGUGGUGGAGGGAGCAGCUGGACCAGGGCCUCACUGGGGAAACUCGUGCCUGGCCUGGCCUGGCCUGGCCCGGGCACUGGGACGAUCCAGAGACCUGGCGUACCCAGCAGGCUGGCAAGAGCGGGAGCCAAGCUUAGCAUGCGGCUCCUUCUCAGGUCAACCACAAGGACGUUCUGAGCCUAGCUCACCUCAGGCGGCAGGUGCAGCCCUUUGAAGAUGCCAGUGGUACUGAACCCAUCCCCAGGAGGGACGGCACUGGUCUCCCCGACCCCCACCAGCCACUUGUCUCCCUCACCUGUCCUGCCCCGCUCGUGAUGCCCCCUUGGCCCCCUCCCCCUCCCUGCCCCAGCCCCAGGCUUUCCUCCUAGAGCUGUAGCCCAGGAAGGUGCAAGGGUGAGGGGAGAUCAGGCUUCAGGCAUGGUGACAGCUGACGGCGGGGGUGGGGGGCGUUCACACAGUCGGGGAACACUCAGCAUCUGACACUCAGAACUUUGGAGGCAACCAAGCCCAGUCUCUGCCGGGCUCUUCCAUUUUCCCCAGCAACCCGACCACCGGGGCUGGGGGAUCCUCCUUAUGGGGUAUUGGGAUAGUCCAUAGCCCAGUGACCAGAGUUAGGCAGCUGGAGAGGAGCAGCAUCAGCAGCACCUGCAAAUGUUCACGGGUAAACCGACACUUAUAACACGAGGCCACACCCGACAGUCCCUCUGCCCGAACACAAACGUCCAUCUCUGCCCCCGCCCCCGGGCCAUGUCUUCGCAGCUCACUCCUCCCUGAGGCUCCUGGGGGUGUAACGGCGCCCCGCUGCAAAGGGACAGACACAUCUCACCCCCCCCCCAAAACACAGGGCUUCAUGAAGUCUGUGUUAGUGAGGCCAGAAGAUUCUAGGAGUUGCAGGAAAAGCCACUGACAGACAAGGAACCGGAGGCGUUAGGCCAGUGGGCCGUUGGGGAGGAGAAAAAUGACGACAAGCUUGUCACAGCUGAAGAGCGCUGUUUGAUAAUCAGCUGAGCGAGCCCAGAAAUGACCUCGUGGAUUAGUGUUGUUACAAAAAUAGUAUCUAGAUGGGGAGUUGCUUUUGGGGAAAAAAAUAAUACAAUUAUAAACUGUCAUGGGAUUGUGUACUUUAAAUGGGUGCACUGUACAGUCUGUUAAUUAUUUCUCAAUAAAGCUACUAUCAAAUUCA